GCAAGUCGAACGGCAGCAGGACCAGCAAUGGUUCUGCGAGAGUGGCGAACGGGUGCGUAACGCGUAUGCAACCUACCUCCAACUGGGGAAUAGCCCUGGGAAACCGGGAUUAAUACCGCAUAAGGUGGUAGAACCGCAUGGUUCAGCCAUUAAAGCAUUGCGGUUGGAGAUGGGCAUGCGUGCCAUUAGCUAGUUGGCGGGGUAAUAGCCCACCAAGGCGACGAUGGCUAGGGGUUCUGAGAGGAUGAUCCCCCACACUGGUACUGAGAUACGGACCAGACUCCUACGGGAGGCAGCAGUAGGGAAUAUUGGUCAAUGGACGCAAGUCUGAACCAGCCAUGCCGCGUGCAGGAGGAAGGCGCUCUGCGUUGUAAACUGCUUUUGUACGGGAAGAAUAUUUCGUUUGCGAACGGAUUUGACGGUACCGUAAGAAUAAGGAUCGGCUAACUACGUGCCAGCAGCCGCGGUAAUACGUAGGAUCCAAGCGUUGUCCGGAUUUAUUGGGUUUAAAGGGUGCGCAGGCGGCCUGAUAAGUCAGUGGUGAAAGCCCGUUGCUUAACAACGGAACUGCCAUUGAUACUGUCGGGCUUGAGUACAGUUGAGGUUGGCGGAAUGUAUCAUGUAGCGGUGA
rnacentral:rRNA from 1 species